CGUUUACAGAAGAGGUUGAGGAUGGUUCGGAAGUAGUGAUGGUACUUGUCAUCGUGUCACAAGAAGGGGCCGGGGAUGAGUUCCCAGCUUCUUCUUCCACUUGCUGUUGGAGACUCCAGUACAUGAUGCUUGCCAUCAAAGUAACAAGAAGAUGGAGCACCCGAGCUUUCGUGCAACACUGACUAUGUAUGUGGCAUUCAACUUCUUUUCAUCAUCUAACAAGUAACAACAUGGUGGAUGCAAGUCAGUUCUGUAAAUUAUAAGCUCUCUGGACAGGUUAAUUAUAAGCAGUUACUAUUCUUCAAAUCAAUAUCGACACAAAUAAAAUCCAGUUCUUGUUUCGGCAGUUCAUACCACUUUCACCCUUGGUAACAAGAUUCCAAUUGACAACUCUAGGCUCCACUGCGCUAAGAAGCUCAAGGAAGAAUAACCCACUUGAGAGACUCUUAUCCUGAGUUUCAACAAUAUCAGUGAGUUUUGAUGUAAAACAUGGCUGAUUCUAAGUCAAGCUAAAAAAGAAAAAGAACAAAAGUUGAAUACAAAUGUAUUUCACCUUGAAGCUCUCUA